rnacentral:lncRNA from 1 species
AGGUUAGAAGUUUCUCCCCUGUUCAGGGGAACUACGUCGCCCUGAUCCUCAUACCAGAUGAAGUACGUAGGCAGGAGAUCGUACGAGAUCUCUCCGGGCACCCUUUUCCUUUUUUGUGUGUGUUUGCUUGACAGCUAGCAGGCUCGAGUACCAGACUCCCUAUUAACUUGUUGGUUGUUAACCCUUUUGUGUGUGUUUGGAGUCCGACAUAAGUCCAGCGAUUGGCAGUUGGUUUCCCGUGUGUGUUUGUUGGUUCAGAGUCUGAUGUAAGUCUAGUGAUUGGCAUUCGGUUUCCAUGUUUGCCUGUUUGUGUGGAGUCUGACAUAAGUCCAGCGAUUGGCAGUCGGUUUCCUAUUUGUGUUUUGUUUGGCGUGCGUGAGCCGAACUACGGUAGCUCUGAUUCUCAUUCCAGAUGAGAUACAUAGGCAUAGGAUGCGAUAUCCUAGCGAGCCCGUUCCCCUCUUCUUCCACCUGUGUCUUAUUCCAGUGUGCGUGCAUUCUUUUGAGCAGUGUUUAGCAACCUUAUUCUAUCCUUUUGAGCGUGGAUCCCGUCGAGUACGACGGAUGCGUAGGGGUGCUAAUACCUUCCCUUCGCAUAACCGACUCCCGAUCCCAUCUCUCUUUGGUCGCGAGACCAUGUCUUUUCCAGGUUACUUCCCUUCGCAUAACCGACUCCCGAUCCCAUCUCUCUUUGGUCGCGAGACCAUGUCUUUUCCAGGUUUACUUCGAGCGUUUCCUUUCCCUUUUUUGGGAUAAAUAACGCACGGUGGCGGCUCUGUUUGUUUUGUUUUUCUCGCCGGUUGAUUUUCGCGGAUGCGACACAACUGUUCUACUUAUGCUAGUUGAUUAUCAAUAGGAGACCUCGAGUAGUGGCCUAGGGAAUUAACAUUAUAUACAUCGUCUAACCCUGUUUAUGUUGGCGAAUUAGGAAUAGAAAGCUCUGAGUAGUGGUUAGUGAGUUAUUUCGUAAGGGAUCGUCUAUAACGGUUUUGUUAGUUUCCCAUGAUAUUAUAAGGAUUAGACCAUUCAUACAAGGUAUCAUACAUCAACAAGAGAGGAUAAGAGGAUUGUAAUACACAACCCAACUGUCUUAAUACUUCUGUUUUAAAAUUGUAAUUUAUUUUCCAUUCUAAAACCUGACCCCCCCCCCCUCCAUUUACUGUUUUUCCUUUAUAUUACACAAUUGUUGGCUUAUUUGAACACAUUCUCUAUAGAUUUAAUCAGUAGUGAGACGCUCCAGUGGCUAAAUUCUUAUGUUUUUGUUAUUAUCAUGAAUCGAGUUUCGUAACUUGGAAUGAGACGCGGUUCGAAGCAUUGAAAGAUAACAUGAAUUAUUAUUAAUUGGUAAUGAUUUUAUAGGCUGAAUGUGUUGUGAUAACAUGAGUAGUUGAUGAGGAUGAUUAUUAAAAAUUAUUUGAUUGAGUAAAUGGCGAGUUGGGUGAGUUUGAGGAGUAUGUUUUAUGAGUUGUGGAAAUGUUUGAAUAUGUUACUAUGACGAGAUGUUAAGCAUUGAGAAUAAGUAUGAAAUAUAUGAAUGUUGUGAAUAUGGAUUAUUUGUAGUUAUGUUUGUUGUAUUGUUGCAUGUUUGAAAUAUAAUUCUGUUAAGGUGAGUUAUUAGCACGCUUGCAUUAAACUGUUGAUUGAUAAUGUGCAUUUUGUGAUUUUGGUGUGAUAUAAUCCAGAGAGGGGAUUACUUGAGUUGUCAAUGCAUUGAUAAUGUGCACUUACUUGUGUAGAGAAUGUUGUGUUAUUAUCCUACCUUACAAUAUAUGUUUGUUAUUAUUGUUUGUGAUUUCGCACUCCUUUGAUGUUGUUGUUGUUGUUGUGGUAUAUGUUUCUAUUCGGGGUACAAAUAAGCAGGUGACUGAGUAGCUUCUUAGAGUGGAGGAUGACAUGAGCUUGUUUUUUUUUCUUACCGUGUUUAGUUUACAUGCUCUGAUAUGUAACACCGAGCAAAACAUUUAUGAUUUAUCUUCUGUUGUGUUGAGUAGAGAGUUAAAGUAUACUCUCAUGGUUGAUGUUUUGAGGUUUUGAAGAGAUUGUAUUUAUGAUUUUGUUUAUGGUAUAAAGUAUUUAAAAUUAAAUGAUUUACUGAUUACAUGUUUUUUAAUGAGAAAUUCCAUUGUGAUGAUACCUUAAGUGAAGUUGAGCAUGCGAAGACACUCUAAGAAAAGGUGUUGAUUAUCGUUACUAUCUAUUAAACUGUUACAAGUCAUGUAUAUUUGGAUUUGAGAAUGUGUAAGAUCCUAGUUUAGUCUUGAUGAAUAGUUUGAUUUUAAUAUAUUUAUGCGCGGGGAAAAUUGGGUGUUACAUAGUUGGUCACAGAGCAGGUCGGUCCAUUCGACCAGGUUUUGUAAUGUUGUUGAAUCCCUAGUAUGCGAAAGGUAUGUGUACAUUGUUUCUUCUAAUGUUUAUUUGAUGGUGUGCAGAAUGGUGAGAAUAAACGAUUGUGCCAUUGUUGAAGGUUUGGAAUCGCUAGCUCAGGCGAUGGCUCAGAAUGCACAGAACAACCAAAAUAAGGGAGCAUGAGGAGUUCCUGAUGAUUUUUGCACUUUGGGAAAAUUUUAGAGGAACAACC